rnacentral:rRNA from 1 species
CAGUCGCCGCGGGAAUACGUAGGGGGCGAGCGUUGUCCGAAGUUACUGGGCGUAAAGCGCGCGUAGGCGGCUUCUCAAGUCUGAGGUGAAAGGUUCAACGCUUAACGUGAACAGUGCCUUGGAUACUGGGGAGCUUGAGUAUGGGAGAGGGCAGUGGAAUGGCUGGUGUAGCGGUGAAAUGCGUAGAUAUCAGUCGGAACACCCAUGGCGAAGGCAGCUGCCUGGCCUAAUACUGACGCUGAGGUGCGAAAGCGUGGGGAGCGAACGGGAUUAGAGACCCCGGUAGUCCCUGUCUCUUAUU